UUAAAAUAGGGACUGGGGGUGUAGCUCAGUGGUAGAGUGCUUGUCUAGCACAUGCAAGGCCCUGGAUUCAAUCCCUAUUACCAUAAAAAAAUAAAGUUCCAGGCCUGGGAAGAUUGUGGCACAUACCAGUGAGAUUAUUGAGGAGCCAUAGGCCCUCCGGAAGCAGACUGGGCUGUUUCUGAAGGAAGAACUGGAAGAGGAUAAAUAACGCUGCCACAAUACGUUCAUCUUUGAGUUGCAUCUGCCCUCCCAUAGCCUCUACUGCCACCUCUGUCAGCAGGUUGCUUAGACACCGGAGCACAGGGCAUGCGAGCUGCAAAGACAAGUUGAAGGUCAGGUUUGAGGAGGAAGGGGUUAUCCGAGCACAAGAAGAAAAGAAUAUGAAAAUGUCUACCACACUAUUCUUGGGUUUUGUUCACUGGGGAUAUAACAUAGGGCCUUGCACAUGCUAGGCAAGUGUAGUAUCAUUGAGCUACAGCUCCAACUCUCUACCUGUUCUUUUAACCUACCAGCUCCAGUCCUGCCUCCUCUGUUCUCUGGACAGCCCCAGCCAAGUCCAACAACAGCAUCCCCAGAGUAGACAGAGCCCCAUGGGUGAUGAGCAGGGUAUUAUUGACCUGGCUGCGCAACAGGAAGCAAGCAGUCACUAUCCAGAUUCCCCAGUGUAUACAGACACAGCUCCUGAGAGCAGUCAACAAAAGCACAGGGCUGCAUUCAUCUCAUGCCAAGCCAGGGAUGGAUGAGAAAGAUGGAACAGUCUGGUUCUUAAAGCUUACAAAGAGCCCCAGCUGACCUGUAUCACCUGCACGGACCUGAUGAAGAUUUGUUGCGUCUCAGGGUGCUGUAAGCCUUGACGAAGACUGACCAGAGCCUUUUCUCUCUCCUUUUCCUCUGUACCCCUCUGAGCUAGCCGCAAGAACUGCUGGACCUGAAGCCCAGAACAAAAAGAGAACACACAACAGCCAGGAAGCAAGUCCUGAGAUCCUCUCUGCCCACUUCACCUGUGAGGCCUUUAAUAUGACACCAUCCCUAAAGCUUGUCAUUAAUACUAACAUAGCUAAUACACACCAAUCUUGCAAGGGAGCACACAGGCAGGGAAUAAAGAGCUGAGAUCCAGGGCCUAGGGAGAUAGCUCAGUUGGUAGAGUGCUUGCCUUGCAAGCACAAGGCCCUGGGUUCGAUCCCCAGCACCACCAAAAACAGUACUCACCCUGCCACAUACCCUACAAGGGACCUGAACCUCAGAUUCCUCACCUGAAAAAUGAGAAUGACAGCAUCUAGUCUGCCUUCUCACAAGGUUAUUUCAAUGUAACAUUCAAACCCCUCAGCCUAACAAAACCUACCCCUCCAGCCAUUCUCCCCACCCAACCUACAUCCCAGGAACACCUGGUAUUUGUUUUAAUGCUUCCAAGCUUUUGCACAUCUAUUCCCUCUGCCUGGAGUGCUCUCUCCAGAUUCCCACUCCCUUCAGAUUCAUGCUUAUCACUGCCUCAGGGAAGUUGGCUCUUUCUGGCUUCCUUCCACAGACUGAAGAGUUUCUCUUGAGCCUCCUUCCAUUAUGAUAGGUGGUAUCACAACUGUCUCCUUCAAUGUUCUGUGAGCACUUCAAAGAAAAGAACUUUUCAUCUUUGUGUACCUCAAUGCCUACUACCUUGUCCUGGCAUAAAGUAAGCACACAAUGAAUAAGCAGUAUAGCCUAGGUGUUAAUUGCUUUGUUAACUAUCUAUGUAAGCAAGGGCAAUACAAACACAAGGCAUACUCUAAUGCUUGCUGAAUGUAUUUCAUUUAUUCAUUCAAUAAAUACUGGACAUCAAUAU